rnacentral:rRNA from 1 species
AUUGAACGCUGGCGGCAGGCCUAACACAUGCAAGUCGAACGAGUGGCGGACGGGUGAGCAAUGUCUGGGAAACUGCCUGAGGGAUGGGGAUAACUACUGGACACUGUAGCUAAUACCGCCUAACAUCACAUGUGCCCAGAUGGGAGUAGCUAGUGGGAGGGGUAAAUGCACACCAAGGCGACGAUCCCUAACUGGUCUGAGAGGAUGACCAGCAACCCUGGAACUGUGACACGGUCCAGACUCCUACGGGAGGCAGCAGUGGGGAAUAUUGCACAAUGGGCGAAAGCCUGAUGCAGCCAUGCCGCGUGUAUGAAGAAGGUCUUCGGGUUGUAAAGUACUUUCAGUUGGGAGGCGUUACCCGCAGAAGAAGCACCGGCUAACUCCGUGCCAGCAGCCGCGGUAAUAC